rnacentral:rRNA from 1 species
UAGCCGUAAACGAUACUCGCUAGGCGUCGGCCACGGUGCGACCGUUGUCGGUGCCGUAGGGAAGCCGUGAAGCGAGCCACCUGGGAAGUACGGCCGCAAGGCUGAAACUUAAAGGAAUUGGCGGGGGAGCACAACAACGGGUGGAGCUUGCGGUUUAAUUGGAUUCAACGCCGGAAAUCUUACCGGGACCGACAGCAACAUGAAGGCCAAGCUGAAGACUUUGCCGGAUUAGCUGAGAGGAGGUGCAUGGCGUAGUCGUGU